AGUCAGGUUAAAAAUGAAGGGGAGGAGUCAGGUUAAAAAUGAAGGGGAGGAGUCAGGUUAAAAAUGACGGGGAGGAGUCAGGUUAAAAAUGACGGGGAGGAGUCAGGUUAAAAAUGACGGGGAGGAGUCAGGUUAAAAAUGACGGGGAGGAGACAGGUUUAAAGAUGACGGGGAGGAGACAGGUUUAAAGAUGACGGGGAGGAGACAGGUUUAAAGAUGACGGGGAGGAGACAGGUUUAAAGAUGACGGGGAGGAGACAGGUUUAAAGAUGACGGGGAGGAGACAGGUUUAAAGAUGACGGGGAGGAGACAGGUUUAAAGAUGACGGGGAGGAGACAGGUUUAAAGAUGACGGGGAGGAGACAGGUUUAAAGAUGACGGGGAGGAGACAGGUUUAAAGAUGACGGGGAGGAGACAGGUUAAAGAUGAAGGGGAGGAGACAGGUUAAAGAUGAAGGGGAGGAGACAGGUUGAUUGUUGUCCUAUGGACAGUCUCCCACCUCAGCUGUAGAUCUCUGCAGUUCAUCCAGAGUGAUCAUGAGCCUCUUGGCUGCAUCUCUGAUCAGUCUUCUCCUUGUAUGAGCUGAAAGUUUAGAGGGACGGCCAGGUCUUGGUAGAUUUGCAGUGGUCUGAUACUCCUUCCAUUUCAAUAUUAUCACUUGCACAGUGCUCCUUGGGAUGUUUAAAGCUUGGGAAAUCUUUUUGUAUCCAAAUCCGCUUUAAACAUCUUCACAACAGUAUCUCGGACCUGCCUGGUGUGUUCCUUGUUCUUCAUGAUGCUCUCUGCGCUUUUAACGGACCUCUGAGACUAUCACAGUGCAGGUGCAUUUAUAUGGAGACUUGAUUACACACAGGUGGAUUGUAUUUAUCAUCAUUAGUCAUUUAGGUCAACAUUGGAUCCUUCAGAGAUCCUCACUGAACUUCUGGAGAGAGUUUGCUGCACUGAAAGUAAA